CAUCCUCCAAGGCUAAAUACUCCUGACUGACCGAUAGUGAACCAGUACCGUGAGGGAAAGGCGAAAAGAACCCCGGCGAGGGGAGUGAAAAAGAACCUGAAACCGUGUACGUACAAGCAGUGGGAGCCCCACCACUAAGCCAGUGGUGAACUCCACAUACGCAUCCUUUGCUGAGGAUACGGUUAACGGAGCGAAAGCGACGUUCAACCGCAAAAGAAGCAGAGGGGGCUUAGUGGUGGGGUGACUGCGUACCUUUUGUAUAAUGGGUCAGCGACUUAUAUUCUGUAGCAAGGUUAACCGAAUAGGGGAGCCGUAGGGAAACCGAGUCUUAACCGGGCGUUAAGUUGCAGGGUAUAGACCCGAAACCCGGUGAUCUAGCCAUGGGCAGGUUGAAGGUUGGGUAACACUAACUGGAGGACCGAACCGCCUAAGGUUGAAAAAUUAGCGGAUGACCUGUGGCU
rnacentral:rRNA from 1 species